GGCAGAGGAAACAGCCGUGCAAAGGCCCCGAGGCAGCAGCGAGCUCUUGCGGGAAGGCCCAUGAGGCUGCAGCCAAAUGGGCAAGGUCAAAGUGAGGAGCAGAGGCCAGAACCACAGGAAGGGAGCGGCCAGACCCUCCACGGCCUUAGGGCGUCCCUGAGAUUCCAUCGGGAAAGGGAUGUAAUCGGAUCACCCCGGGAACAGUGAGGAAAAUUGACUCCAGGAGGUCAGGGGGACUCAAGGACACCCCCCACCACUGUCUCUC
rnacentral:lncRNA from 10 species